AUGCAGCCGCUCAGACGACAGGACAUGGGCGGACGAGAUGUUCAUAAUGAGCAUGUGGACAAGUUCAAAUUCCUUUGUUAUAAUAUCCAAAAAGAAAAUGCAGCACGAUGGUUUAUGUCCAAGAUGAUUCUAUCUAUAGGACGUGGACAGCCCCACCAUGAUCUUAACUUGGAGAAUUACAUGUCUCUGGUCAAGGUCUUUAUUGUCGAUCCUCUUGUGGGAAGACAAGAACUCAGCCUCCCCAUCAUAGCAUCGGCCGCCUCGACCGCUCCAACUCUCCCUUUUGACCCCACACUUGUGAAAGGACCUGUCACCUUUUCUUUGGGUGCCUGCGACUCCGGGACAUUUGGUUUUGCUCAUCCGGAAGUCGCUAUUUUUUGGGACUUUGAGGAUUGUGAUCAUUGGAAAAGAGCCAAGGACUGGCACCGCGUCCUGGACGACCCCGGCUGCUUCCGCCGCCGCUAUGCCGAGUUCCACGCUAGUGCGGCGCCCGUGCUGGGAUUGAUCCACCACGUCGUCGGUUGCUACAUUUGCCACUCCAGAUUCGCCCCCACCACGUCCUUCUCCACGCGCGGCACCCCCUGCACUACAGGUGCGUGCUCGACUCGCGCCACGGCCGCGUCCUUUUCUGGACCUACAAGGAUCACAGUCAGCCCGUACACGGACAGAUUCUUUGACGGCAACUGGGGCGCGGUGGUGCUCUGCGCCGGCGACGGCUGCGACCACGUCGUGGACUGCCACGGAAACCCCUUCCUCGUUGCCGUGGUAGGCAGAGACUACGAUUGGCGCAUCUCCGCGUGCGUCUACUCUUCGGAGGCCGGCACUUGGAGCGACUUCACCUCCUUUCGGCACCCGCACACCAUGGUGUUCGACAGGGAACGGCACAGCGUCGUCUUGGGCGGGAACACGAUGUGCAUUCCCUGCGAUACUGGCUCUGGAAUCAUGCACUACGAUGUGGCCGCGCAGGAGCUGUCAUGGACCAACGCACCUUCGGAAUUCGCGGACAGCCAUGAUAACUUCUCCCUCGUCACCACUCAAGAUGGCAACCUGGGGUUUGUCAGCUACGGAAACGCCGGUGGCCAUGUCCGAAUGUACAUGUGGACAAGGGUGUGUUUCGUGCCACCGGAGCCACGGAAUGGGCUCAGCGCAUCGCCAUCCAUGAGCUGCUGCCCACUCAUGCCCUACCAGAGAGAUACGGUGUGGUUGGCCUCAUCGACGGAGGCAGAGUCGUUGUGUUGGAGACAUUCUCUGAGUUGCUAA
rnacentral:rRNA from 1 species